rnacentral:tRNA from 1 species
UCCCUGAUAGUCCAGUGGUAUGAACUCCCCACUUCUACUGCAAAAAACCUGGGGGCCCAGGUUCAAUCCCUGGUUGGGGGA